CACUAAAUCCAACGCCUGGGAAUUACGAGCCAAGCUUAAAACCCAAAGGACUUGACGGUGUCCUACCCACCUAGAGGAGCCUGUUCUAUAAUCGAUACUCCCCGCUUUACCUUACCAUUUUUUGUUUUCAGCCUGUAUACCUCCGUCGUAAGCCUACCAUAUGAAUGUCUGUAGUAAGCCUAACGGCCCCUCCGCCAACACGUCAGGUCAAGGUGCAGCUUAUAAAAUGGAAAGCAAUGGGCUACAAUUUCUACCUUAGAACACACCAAAGAUUAAAUGAAACAUAAUCUGAAAGGCGGAUUUAGAAGUAAAAGGAAAGUAGCGUGUUCUUUUUAACCUGGCACUAGGACGUGUACACACCGCCCGUCACC
rnacentral:rRNA from 1 species